UACAGAGGUCUCAAGCGUUUGUUCGGAUUUAUUGGGCGUAAAGAGCGUGUAGGCGGCCAUACAGGUCCGUUGUGAAAACUGGAGGCUUAACCUCCAGACGUCGAUGGAAACCGUAUGGCUAGAGUCCGGAAGAGGAGAGUGGAAUUCCUGGUGUAGCGGUGAAAUGCGCAGAUAUCAGGAAGAACACCCGUGGCGAAGGCGGCUCUCUGGGACGGUACUGACGCUGAGACGCGAAAGCGUGGGGAGCGAACAGG
rnacentral:rRNA from 1 species